ensembl:miRNA
GCGUCCCCGGGGCUCCCGCCGGCGGAGUUCGGUUUGCACCGGGGAGGGGGCCGGGGAUCGG